UACGAGGGGGGCAAGCGUUGUUCGGAAUUAUUGGGCGUAAAGGGUGCGUAGGCGGUUUGGUAAGUCUUAUGUGAAAUCUACAGGCUCAACUUGUAGUCUGCAUGAGAAACUGCCGGGCUUGAGUAUGGGAGAGGUGAGUGGAAUUCCGAGUGUAGAGGUGAAAUUCGUAGAUAUUCGGAAGAACACCAGUGGCGAAGGCGACUUACUGGACACGUAUUGACGCUGAGGUGCGAAAGCGUGGGGAGCAAACAGG
rnacentral:rRNA from 1 species